GAAAACACUUGGUCACUCAGCAGCCUGCUCUCGGCAUGCAGCUCGCAUAUCUCAUCCUCACCGUCUUCCUGGGACAGCUCCUGGGCACCACGGGGCAGGACACGGUCACCCAGGAACAUGGACCAGUCUUGGUGAAGCAGGGACACCCCUUCCACACCAUAUGCAAAUACCACACCAGUUAUUUUACUGGCUUACUGUGGUACCAGCUGAGGAAAGGCGAAGCCCCAGAGCUGAUCUCCUAUCAAGCAGGGGCUGGCUCCAAGCGCAGCGGCCGUUUCACCAUGCAGCUGAACACCACGGGCAAAUCCAGUGUCCUGCAGCUGGAGGAAGUGGAGCUCUCUGACUCUGCCUUGUACCUCUGUGCUCUGCAAGACACCCUGAUGCAGUCAGAGCCCAGGUACAGCAGGAGCCAUUCCUGGAGACCACCGAGGGCACCGGCAUCAACAUCACCUGCUAACAUCCCAAAAUCCAGACCGGUUAUUGGAUCCAGUGGUACCGUCAGCUCCCUGGCCAAGGACCCGAACUCCUCGCACUCACUAUGA